rnacentral:rRNA from 1 species
UACGGAGGGUGCAAGCGUUAAUCGGAAUUACUGGGCGUAAAGCGCACGUAGGCGGUUCGUUAAGUCGGAUGUGAAAUCCCCGGGCUCAACCUGGGACCUGCAUUCGAUACUGGCGAACUUGAGUAUGACAGAGGGGGGUGGAAUUCCACGUGUAGCAGUGAAAUGCGUAGAGAUGUGGAGGAACACCAAUGGCGAAGGCAGCCCCCUGGGUCGAUACUGACGCUCAUGCACGAAAGCGUGGGUAGCAAACAGGAUUAGAUACCCGGGUAGU